rnacentral:rRNA from 1 species
CAGCACCUCAAGUGGUCAGGAUGAUUAUUGGGCCUAAAGCAUCCGUAGCCGGCGCUGUAAGUUUUCGGUUAAAUCUGUACGCUCAACGUACAGGCUGCCGGGAAUACUGCAGCGCUAGGGAGUGGGAGAGGUAGACGGUACUCGGUAGGAAGGGGUAAAAUCCUUUGAUCUAUUGAUGACCACCUGUGGCGAAGGCGGUCUACCAGAACACGUCCGACGGUGAGGGAUGAAAGCUGGGGGAGCAAACCGGAUUAGAUACCCGGUAGUCC